AGAGGCACGAUGAGGAUGCACAUUUGAUGAGGUCUUAAGAUCUAUGAAAUUUUUCUACAUAAACUUUCGAAAGUCCUUUUCAUUCUGAGUGCCUC